rnacentral:lncRNA from 1 species
CUCCAAAAUAGCACAUUUCUAAGUUUAUAUCACAAAAAUAGCACUAAAAAACUAAAAUGACCAAAAUAGCACCUUUCUAAGUUUAUCGUUUGAAAAUUUUAACUUUUUUAAUUUUUAAAAUUUGAAAUCUUAUCCCCAAAACCUCAUUUCUCAACUCUAAACCCUAAACCUUAAACUCUAAACCCUAAACCCUAAACCCUAAAAUCUAAACCCUAAACCCUAAACUCUAAAUCCUAAACCCUAAACCCUAAACCUUAAACCCUAAAUUCUAAACCCUAAACCCUAAACCUUAAACUCUAAACCCUAAACCCUAAAUCCUAAACCCCACCCUUUAACU